rnacentral:SRP_RNA from 1 species
GCUGGGUGCAGUGGUGUGUGCCUGUAGUCCCAGCUACUUGGGAGGCUGAGGUGGGAGGAUAGCUUGGGCCCAGGAGUUUGAGGGUGCAGUGAGCUAUGGUUGUGCCACCAUACCCUAGCCUGGGCAAUAGAGCAAGACCAUAUUUCUU